GACGAACGCUGGCGGCGUGCCUAACACAUGCAAGUCGAGCGGUCCGGCACUCAACUAAGUGCUUACUUAAGGGGAAGGAAGUAUAGUAGAAGAAGAAAGUAAUAAAAGUGGUGCAAAGUAAGGUAAGCACGGAGUUGAGUGCCGGAUAGCGGCGGACGGGUGAGUAACGCGUGGGCAACCUACCCUUAAGACCGGGAUAACACCUCGAAAGGGGUGCUAAUACUGGAUAAGCUCCUUGUAGGGCAUCCUAUGGGGAGGGAAGGUAGCGGAAGCUACCGCUUAAGGAUGGGCCCGCGUCCCAUCAGCUAGUUGGUAGGGUAACGGCCUACCAAGGCGACGACGGGUAGCCGGCCUGAGAGGGUGGUCGGCCACACUGGGACUGAGACACGGCCCAGACUCCUACGGGAGGCAGCAGUGGGGAAUCUUGCGCAAUGGGCGAAAGCCUGACGCAGCGACGCCGCGUGAGCGAAGAAGGCCUUCGGGUCGUAAGCUCGAUAGUGUGGGAAGGAAGUAAGAUGACGGUACCGACACGAAACGG
rnacentral:rRNA from 1 species